rnacentral:tRNA from 1 species
GCGGCCGUAGUUCAGCCCGGUUAGAACGCCUGCCUGUCACGCAGGAAGUCGUGGGUUCAAAUCCCAUCGGCCGCGCAA